rnacentral:lncRNA from 1 species
AUAUACUAGGAUGUCACACCUAAUGUAAUAUAGGAUAAUUUAGAAAAACUCAAAUGAAAAAGAAGAAUCAUUUGAUAAUUUUUAAUUUUUAAAAAUCUAAAUCUCGCUCUCCAGAAUUCAUAAACCAUAUAUAUUAAUGGGACAAAGAUCACACCAAAGAUUAAACAUGAUCGCAAUACGAAAGAAGUCACAAAAUUAGAACUUCAUAAUUAAUGAAGAAACUAAACAUGAAAUAAUCAUGCCUACUUCAUACAUUACUUGAUAUUCAAAAUGAAAAAUAAAGUUCUCAACUUUUGCACACUAAAUUAAAGAGAUAUAAUAGACAUUUUCUAACAAAAAAUAACAUAAUAACUAUGAUUGACAUAAUUACUUUCCAAUAUUUUCUGAAAGCUUUAACCCAAUAAAUAUGUACGCUAAACAUAGGAGAUGAAAUAGCACUUGCUGCACUUUAAUUUGUUACUACUUCUUCACUUUCUUCAACGGUCAAGCUUGAAGAUGACUCUUCAUGUAAACAACUUAUUGUUUAAAAUUUGUUGAAGGUUUCUAAGGCUUUAUCAUAAUAUCGGAAAGCACGAAAGUAGCUACCCUCGACUCCAACAAGUAUUUUAACACACUCAGACCAACUUUUGUAUAUUCCUGAUUUCUUACCACAAAAAAUAACAAACACCAUAUAUUUGAGUUAGUGUUUACGUUCAACAAACUUUUCAAAUUCAUCGAACACCGAUAUGGCCACAUCGUGAGACUUGAAAGACUGGAAGGUGCUACGCUUAACCCCGACAACCAUAGGAGAACAUUCACUCCAUGAGUAGUAUAUUCCUAGCCUUUUACCAGAAAAUACAACAUAUACUUUUGAAUCACUAUUCUUGUUUGAAUGCAUCCUUAAUAUGUUAACUCGCACUUAGAAGAGAUUAAGUAUUUAAAUGAAGGUCUAUUUAAGUAUGUUAUCAGGGGAAUUAAAUAAGGGUUUGUUUAAGUAGGGUAUCAUGUGUUUAAAUAGUAGGGCUUUGAAGACCUACUAAAAUAUAUACGAAAUACACACUAAAAUAUUAUACAUAUACGAAAUAUAUAAUUAUAUACAUAUAUAUA